ACUACGUGAUGCAGCAGUGGGGAAUAUUGGACAAUGGGCGAAAGCCUGAUCCAGCCAUGCCGCGUGUGUGAAGAAGGCCUUCGGGUUGUAAAGCACUUUCAGUGGGGAAGAAAGCCUUGGGGCUAAUACCCUCGAGGAAGGACAUCACCCACAGAAGAAGCACCGGCUAACUCCGUGCCAGCAGCCGCGGUAAUACGGAGGGUGCGAGCGUUAAUCGGAAUUACUGGGCGUAAAGCGCGCGUAGGCGGUCUGAUAAGCCGGUUGUGAAAGCCCCGGGCUCAACCUGGGAACGGCAUCCGGAACUGUCAGGCUAGAGUGCAGGAGAGGAAGGUAGAAUUCCCGGUGUAGCGGUGAAAUGCGUAGAGAUCGGGAGGAAUACCAGUGGCGAAGGCGGCCUUCUGGACUGACACUGACGCUGAGGUGCGAAAGCGUGGGUAGCAAACAGGAUUAGAUACCCUAGUAGUC
rnacentral:rRNA from 1 species